rnacentral:sRNA from 1 species
GGGGGUGUCAUGGUUUCGACGGGUAUGGUGAAGAUCUGAGUGCAUGCCGAGGUUUCAGACACCUCGUAAAACCUCUGAAAAACUUAGUAAAAGCGAACGAUAACUUCGCCUUGGCGGCCUAAGGAACCUGGUUCCUUGCAGGCCCCCACUUGUUGAUCAGACCUGCCUGAGCCGGGUCAACGAGUGUCGCAAAUCCAGGCUGGCUCAUUCGAGCGUCGUGGUAGAAUGGGCGAGAAUUGCACGACUGGUUCGAGAUGGGCCUUCUGCUGGCCGAUGAUCGAGCGAGGAGAAAAGAACAGCGGAAUAAGCAUGUAGAGCUUGGAUGGGAUCUGUAUUCGGACGCGGGUUCGACUCCCGCCACCUCCACUU